GAUGAAGAACGCAGCGAAAUGCGAUAAGUAAUGUGAAUUGCAGAAUUCAGUGAAUCAUCGAAUCUUUGAACGCACAUUGCGCCCAUUAGCAUUCUAGUGGGCAUGCCUGUUCGAGCGUCAUUUCAACCCUUAAGCCCUGUUGCUUAGCGUUGGGAGCCUACAGUACUGUAGCUCCCCAAAGUUAGUGGCGGAGUCGGUUUCACACUCUAGACGUAGUAAUUUUUUCUCGUCUGUAGUUGAGCCGGUCCCCUGCCGUAAAACACCCAAUUUAUCAAGGUUGACCUCGGAUCUGGUAGGAAUACCCGCUGAACUUAAGCAUAUCAAUAAGCGGAGGA
rnacentral:misc_RNA from 1 species